rnacentral:rRNA from 1 species
GAUCAUGGCUCAGAUUGAACGCUGGCGGCAUGCCUUACACAUGCAAGGUCGAACGGUAACAGGGAGCUUGCUCCGCUGACGAGUGGCGAACGGGUGAGUAAAGUAUCGGAACGUACCUUUCAGUGGGGGAUAACGUAGCGAAAGUUACGCUAAUACCGCAUACGAUCUACGGAUGAAAGCGGGGGAUCGCAAGACCUCGCGCGAUUGGAGCGGCCGAUAUCAGAUUAGGUAGUUGGGUGGGGUAAAGGCUCACCAAGCCAACGAUCUGUAGCUGGUCUGAGAGGACGACCAGCCACACUGGAACUGAGACACGGUCCAGACUCCUACGGGAGGCAGCAGUGGGGAAUUUUGGACAAUGGGCGAAAGCCUGAUCCAGCCAUUCCGCGUGCAGGAAGAAGGCCUUCGGGUUGUAAACUGCUUUUGUACGGAGACGAAAAGGCUCCUCCCUAAUACGGGGGGUUCAUGACGGUACCGUAAGAAUAAGCACCGGCUAACUACGUG